rnacentral:rRNA from 1 species
ACUUCGGUGAAGGAUUAGCGGCGAACGGGUGAGGAACACGUGUAGAAUCUGCCUUCAACUCUGGGAUAACUCCGGGAAACCGGGGCUAAUACCGGAUAUGAGCCUUGAUCGCAUGAUCGGGGCUGGAAAGUUUUUCGGUUGAAGAUGACUUCGCGGCCUAUCAGCUUGUUGGUGAGGUAAUGGCUCACCAAGGCGACGACGGGUAGCCGGCCUGAGAGGGCGACCGGCCACACUGGGACUGAGACACGGCCCAGACUCCUACGGGAGGCAGCAGUGGGGAAUAUUGGGCAAUGGAGGAAACUCUGACCCAGCGACGCCGCGUGCGGGAUGAAGGCCUUUGGGUUGUAAACCGCUUUCAGCAGGGAAUAAGCGCAAGUGAAGGUACCUGCAGAAGAAGCACCGGCUAACUAUGUGCCAGCAGCCGCGGUAAUACAUAGGGUGCAAGCGUUGUCCGGAAUUAUUGGGCGUAAAGAGCUCGUAGGUGGUUUGUUACGUCGGUUGUGAAAUUCAGGGGCUCAACCCCUGACUUGCAGCCGAUACGGGCAAGCUAGAGUUUGGUAGGGGAGACUGGAAUUCCUGGUGUAGCGGUGGAAUGCGCAGAUAUCAGGAGGAACACCGAUGGCGAAGGCAGGUCUCUGGGCCAAUACUGACACUGAGGAGCGAAAGCGUGGGGAGCGAACAGGAUUAGAUACCCUGGUAGUCCACGCCGUAAACGGUGGGCGCUAGUUGUGCGAACCUUCCACGGUUUGUGCGACGCAGCUAACGCAUUAAGCGCCCCGCCUGGGGAGUACGAUCGCAAGAUUAAAACUCAAAGGAAUUGACGGGCCCCGCACAAGCAGCGGAGCAUGCGGCUUAAUUCGACGCAACGCGAAGAACCUUACCAGGCUUGACAUAUACAGGAUAUGGCAGAGAUGUCAUAGCCGCAAGGUCUGUAUACAGGUGGUGCAUGGUUGUCGUCAGCUCGUGUCGUGAGAUGUUGGGUUAAG